CCUACGGGUGGCAGCAGUGGGGAAUAUUGGACAAUGGGCGAAAGCCUGAUCCAGCCAUGCCGCGUGUGUGAAGAAGGCCUUCGGGUUGUAAAGCACUUUCAGUGGGGAAGAAAGCCUUGGGGCUAAUACCCUCGAGGAAGGACAUCACCCACAGAAGAAGCACCGGCUAACUCCGUGCCAGCAGCCGCGGUAAUACGGAGGGUGCGAGCGUUAAUCGGAAUUACUGGGCGUAAAGCGCGCGUAGGCGGUCUGAUAAGCCGGUUGUGAAAGCCCCGGGCUCAACCUGGGAAAGGCAUCCGGAACUGUCAGGCUAGAGUGCAGGAGAGGAAGGUAGAAUUCCCGGUGUAGCGGUGAAAUGCGUAGAGAUCGGGAGGAAUACCAGUGGCGAAGGCGGCCUUCUGGACUGACACUGACGCUGAGGUGCGAAAGCGUGGGUAGCAAACAGGAUUAGAUACCCUAGUAGUC
rnacentral:rRNA from 1 species